CAGAAAUCGUCGAUUCGUUUGAUGUUGGAGGCUCGAUUUAAAAUUCGCCAUCUUAUCACGAGUUACAAAAAGCACAGAAUCAAGGUACUGAAGAUGGAACAAUAGUUUCGAAACAUGUAUACUAUACAGGGUGUGUUUCAUGAGGAAUGGUACAUACAUUAAUAUGUUAUAGAUUUGUUCAUUUUAAGCAGAAAAGUUCCUAUGAACAUGUGCUUUAUGAAGCACGGCUUUUGUGAAACAGUCAUUUGUCAAUGUUUGACAUUUAACAUUAUUAUGUCGACUAAGUUGUUGAUAAUGCUACAUAUUGACUCAUGCAGAACAUGCUGAUAUGGUGUUUUGUUACGAUUUCUGCAAUCGAAAUGCUCGUGAUGACUAUAGGAGAGAUUCCAGAUUGCAUGAAACCGGUUCUGCUCCAAGAACAAGUAUUGAAUACUCAAUGUGCAGGUGUGCAAAGUCUGAAUGAAGUUGAACAAAUUCUUCAAUCGGUAGAACGCAGCCCAUCUACCAGUACAAGAAGACUUUCUAGAUUCCAUGUUCAACCAGUACAAUACCUUGAACCAGCAAACUCUGCCAGGAGAUUAAAAUUUCGUGGAUGGGUAAUAUCUAACAUUCACUCGGAAUAGAAUCAAAAAUAGUCGAAAUGAUCACCGUUGGUCUGAGGAUAAUCUGCAUGUCAGUGUUGAAACAAAUUUUCAGAUAUUUAGAGCUUCCAAUACUGUUACUUUGCGGAACGGUGGAUUGGUCAGCUCAGUCACCGGACCUUAAUCCGUUAUAUUACGGAAUGUGGAGAUGGCUGAAAGGCGAUGUUUAUCAAGUAAAAGUAAACAUGCGUGAUGAACAAUCGUUCGUAUUACGACCAGUGCGGCACGAAUCAAGGCACGUCAGGAUAAAUUGGUAAUGUACACAUUUAAAUAAAUCAGUUUAUGUAUUAACUGGCUGUAUCUCAGUUACCUUUGAGAAUUGAGCAUAUUUUUUUAGGAACUUUUCUCCUUAAAAUGAACAAAUUUAUAACAUAUUA